CAAGUUUGAUUUUAUAUUACUAAAUAUAUUCUAGUUUGCCUAUUUGCUCAUUUCUGUUUCUUUUUUAUUCUUUAACAGAGACAACCAGAUGGACCCACAAAAGAAAUCACUUUGAUAUUUCCAGAUGAAUCUUUCAAACAAAUUGUGAAUCAACCAGAUGAACCAACACAGGAAAUUAUUGAG